rnacentral:rRNA from 1 species
UCGUAAAUAUAUAAAUUUAAAGUUUGAGUAGUAAUAGAGUUCUUGAAACUAAAAGAAUUUGGCGGUAUUUAAGUCUAUUUAGAGGAAUUUGUGCGGUAAUCGAUAGUCCUCGUUGAAACUUACUUAGAAUAAGGUUUGUAUACCGUUGUCAUCAGAAUAAUUUUUAGAAUAUUUUCAGAGUUGUUUAUUAAACAAGAUGUCAUAUCAAGGUGCAGCGUAUAUUUAAGAUGUCAUGAAUUACAAUAUUGGAGAAUAAUACGAAAUAAUAUUUUUAAUAGUGUUAUGAAGGUGGAUUUAGUUGUAAUUGUUUAUUAGAAAGAAGAGAUGAAAAAGUACUAAAAUAUGC